rnacentral:rRNA from 1 species
GACGAACGCUGGCGGCGUGCCUAAUACAUGCAAGUCGAACGGUCUUUCUAUGGAAGCUUGCUUCCACUGAAAAGAUAGUGGCGAACGGGUGAGUAACACGUGGGUAACCUGCCCAUAAGAGGGGGGAUAACAUCCGGAAACGGGUGCUAAUACCGCAUAGUUUUCUUGAUCGCAUGAUCGGGAAAGGAAAGACGGCCUUUGUGCUGUCGCUUAUGGAUGGACCCGCGGCGUAUUAGUUAGUUGGUGAGGUAACGGCUCACCAAGACGAUGAUACGUAGCCGACCUGAGAGGGUGAUCGGCCACAUUGGGACUGAGACACGGCCCAAACUCCUACGGGAGGCAGCAGUAGGGAAUCUUCCGCAAUGGACGAAAGUCUGACGGAGCAACGCCGCGUGAGUGAAAGAAGGUUUUCGGAUCGUAAACUCUGUUGUCAGAGAAGAACAAGUUGGAGAGUAACUGCUCCAGCCUUGACGGUAUCUGACCAGAAAGCCACGGCUAACUACGUGCCAGCCGCCGC